CCUACGGGUGGCAGCAGUGGGGGAUAUUGCACAAUGGGGGAAACUCUGAUGCAGCGACGCAGCGUGAGUGAAGAAGGAUUUCGGUAUGGAAAGCUCUAUCAGCAGGGAAGAAAAUGACAGUACCUGACCAAGAAGCCCCGGCUAACAACGUUCCAGCAGCAGCGGUAAUACGUAGGGGGCAAGCUUUAUCCGGAUUGACUGGGUGUAAAGGGGGCGUAGACGGUUAUGUAAGUCUGUAGGUAAAGCAUGGGGCCCAACCCCGGGAUUGCAUUGGAAACUGUGUAACUGGAGUACAGGAGGGGCAGGCGAAAUCGCUGGUGUAGCGGUGAAAUGCG
rnacentral:rRNA from 1 species